GCCGGGGUGGCGAAAACGGUCAGACGCGGCCGCCUUAAAAGCGGCUGUCCCUCGGGACAUCUGGGUUCGAGUCCCAGCCCCGGCA
rnacentral:tRNA from 1 species